GAUGAACGCUGGCGGCGUGCCUAAUACAUGCAAGUCGAGCGAACGGACGAGAAGCUUGCUUCUCUGAUGUUAGCGGCGGACGGGUGAGUAACACGUGGAUAACCUACCUAUAAGACUGGGAUAACUUCGGGAAACCGGAGCUAAUACCGGAUAAUAUUUUGAACCGCAUGGUUCAAAAGUGAAAGACGGUCUUGCUGUCACUUAUAGAUGGAUCCGCGCUGCAUUAGCUAGUUGGUAAGGUAACGGCUUACCAAGGCAACGAUGCAUAGCCGACCUGAGAGGGUGAUCGGCCACACUGGAACUGAGACACGGUCCAGACUCCUACGGGAGGCAGCAGUAGGGAAUCUUCCGCAAUGGGCGAAAGCCUGACGGAGCAACGCCGCGUGAGUGAUGAAAGUCUUCGGAUCGUAAAACUCUGUUAUUAGGGAAGAACAUAUGUGUAAGUAACUGUGCACAUCUUGACGGUACCUAAUCAGAAAGCCACGGCUAACUACGUGCCAGCAGCCGCGGUAAUACGUAGGUGGCAAGCGUUAUCCGGAAUUAUUGGGCGUAAAGCGCGCGUAGGCGGUUUUUUAAGUCUGAUGUGAAAGCCCACGGCUCAACCGUGGAGGGUCAUUGGAAACUGGAAAACUUGAGUGCAGAAGAGGAAAGUGGAAUUCCAUGUGUAGCGGUGAAAUGCGCAGAGAUAUGGAGGAACACCAGUGGCGAAGGCGACUUUCUGGUCUGUAACUGACGCUGAUGUGCGAAAGCGUGGGGAUCAAACAGGAUUAGAUACCCUGGUAGUCCACGCCGUAAACGAUGAGUGCUAAGUGUUAGGGGGUUUCCGCCCCUUAGUGCUGCAGCUAACGCAUUAAGCACUCCGCCUGGGGAGUACGACCGCAAGGUUGAAACUCAAAGGAAUUGACGGGGACCCGCACAAGCGGUGGAGCAUGUGGUUUAAUUCGAAGCAACGCGAAGAACCUUACCAAAUCUUGACAUCCUUUGACAACUCUAGAGAUAGAGCUUUCCCCUUCGGGGGACAAAGUGACAGGUGGUGCAUGGUUGUCGUCAGCUCGUGUCGUGAGAUGUUGGGUUAAGUCCCGCAACGAGCGCAACCCUUAAGCUUAGUUGCCAUCAUUAAGUUGGGCACUCUAAGUUGACUGCCGGUGACAAACCGGAGGAAGGUGGGGAUGACGUCAAAUCAUCAUGCCCCUUAUGAUUUGGGCUACACACGUGCUACAAUGGACAAUACAAAGGGCAGCGAAACCGUGAGGUCAAGCAAAUCCCAUAAAGUUGUUCUCAGUUCGGAUUGUAGUCUGCAACUCGACUACAUGAAGCUGGAAUCGCUAGUAAUCGUAGAUCAGCAUGCUACGGUGAAUACGUUCCCGGGUCU
rnacentral:rRNA from 1 species